UGACCUCAAAUCAGGUAGGAGUACCCGCUGAACUUAAGCAUAUCAAUAAGCGGAGGA
rnacentral:rRNA from 2 species